rnacentral:tRNA from 2 species
GGAGCGGUAGUUCAGUUGGUUAGAAUGCCUGCCUGUCACGCAGGAGGUCGCGGGUUCGAGUCCCGUCCGCUCCG